rnacentral:rRNA from 1 species
UAUCGUAAUUGAAGAGGUUUGGAAAGACCCACCACAGAAGGUAAUAGUCCUGUAUGUUAAACGAGAAGACUUUAGAUAUGAUCCAGAGUACCACGGGACACGUGAAACCCUGUGGGAAGCAGGAGGGACCACCCUCCAAGGCUAAAUACUACCUAGUGACCGAUAGCGUAUAGUACCGUGAGGGAAAGGUGAAAAGAACCCCGGGAGGGGAGUGAAAUAGAACCUGAAACCCUGCACUUACAAGCUGUGGAAGCACAUUUCUUGUGUGACCGCGUACUUUUUGUAGAACGGGCCAACGAGUUACGUUAAGUAGCAAGGUUAAGCACUUAAGGUGUGGAGCCGUAGCGAAAGCGAGUUUUAACUGAGCGUUCAGUUACUUGACGUAGACCCGAAACCGGGCGACCUACCCAUGAGCAGGAUGAAGCGAAAGUAAAAUUUCGUGGAGGUCCGAACCCACGAGCGUUGAAAAGCUCGGGGAUGACUUGUGGGUAGCGGUGAAAUUCCAAUCGAGCCCGGAGAUAGCUGGUUCUCCCCGAAAUAGCUUUAGGGCUAGCCUCAAGGUGAGAGAUACGGAGGUAGAGCACUGAAUGUCCUAGGGGGUAUUGCACCUACCGAAGACUAUCAAACUCCGAAUGCCGUCAUCUUAUACUUGGGAGUCAGACUGUGGGUGAUAAGAUUCAUAGUCGAAAGGGCAACAGCCCAGAUCGUCAGCUAAGGUCCCUAAAUGUAAGUUAAGUGGUAAAGGAUGUGGGAUUGCACAGACAACCAGGAUGUUGGCUUAGAAGCAGCCACUCAUUCAAAGAGUGCGUAAUAGCUCACUGGUCGAGUGAUCCUGCGCCGAAGAUUUCCGGGGCUAAAACUUACUACCGAAGCUACGGCAUCAGUAAUGAUGGGUAGGGGAGCUUCCCAUACGGGUUGAAGCAUGACCGUAAGGACAUGUGGACAGUAUGGGAGUGAGAAUGUUGGCAUGAGUAGCGAGAUGUGGGUGAGAAUCCCACAGGCCGUAAACCCAAGGUUUCCAGGGGAAGGUUCGUCCGCCCUGGGUUAGUCGGGACCUAAGCUGAGGCCGAAAGGCGUAGGUGAUGG